UACGUAGGGGGCUAGCGUUGUCCGGAAUCAUUGGGCGUAAAGAGCGUGUAGGCGGCCCGGUAAGUCCGCUGUAAAAGUCAAAGGCUCAACCUUUGAAUGUCAGUGGAUACUGCCGGGCUAGAGUCCGGAAGAGGCGAGUGGAACUCCUGGUGUAGCGGUGGAAUGCGCAGAUAUCAGGAAGAACACCAACGGCGAAGGCAGCUCGCUAGGACGGUACUGACGCUGAGACGCGAAAGCGUGGGGAGCGAACGGG
rnacentral:rRNA from 1 species